UCGAUUUAUAUAUAUUGGUUUGAUACUUUCGGUCUCAAUAAUAAUUAUAGAGAGUAGCAAGAGAAUGUGGGGUCGAAUCCCAUCAAAAACGUUUUUCCCAUUGUAGGGAUGCGUGUUCGAUUCCCCCUCAAGAAUGUUUUAUUCCAAGUUGUUUGGGCUCCAGUGGCAAGGAGCUCCUUCCAGGGAUGUACCCGGGGAAUACCGGGUUCGAUUCUCAAGGGGAACAACGCUUGACCAGUGCGCAUGCCUCUACGCACGAGCCGGAUUAGUCGCCCACCAUUGGUGUGUCGAAAACCGGUGCGAAAGCAAAAAAAAAGAUUAUAGAGAAAACUUUUCAACAAUAAAAAUUAUCAAGACAAUAGUCAUAAACAAAUUAAAUGGAUAAUGAGUUUAUU
rnacentral:lncRNA from 1 species